rnacentral:rRNA from 1 species
AUUGAACGCUGGCGGCAGGCCUAACACAUGCAAGUCGAGCGGAAACGAGUUAUCUGAACCUUCGGGGAACGAUAACGGCGUCGAGCGGCGGACGGGUGAGUAAUGCCUAGGAAAUUGCCCUGAUGUGGGGGAUAACCAUUGGAAACGAUGGCUAAUACCGCAUGAUGCCUACGGGCCAAAGAGGGGGACCUUCGGGCCUCUCGCGUCAGGAUAUGCCUAGGUGGGAUUAGCUAGUUGGUGAGGUAAGGGCUCACCAAGGCGACGAUCCCUAGCUGGUCUGAGAGGAUGAUCAGCCACACUGGAACUGAGACACGGUCCAGACUCCUACGGGAGGCAGCAGUGGGGAAUAUUGCACAAUGGGCGCAAGCCUGAUGCAGCCAUGCCGCGUGUGUGAAGAAGGCCUUCGGGUUGUAAAGCACUUUCAGUCGUGAGGAAGGUAGUGUAGUUAAUAGCUGCAUUAUUUGACGUUAGCGACAGAAGAAGCACCGGCUAACUCCGUGCCAGCAGCCGCGGUAAUACGGAGGGUGCGAGCGUUAAUCGGAAUUACUGGGCGUAAAGCGCAUGCAGGUGGUUUGUUAAGUCAGAUGUGAAAGCCCGGGGCUCAACCUCGGAAUUGCAUUUGAAACUGGCAGACUAGAGUACUGUAGAGGGGGGUAGAAUUUCAGGUGUAGCGGUGAAAUGCGUAGAGAUCUGAAGGAAUACCGGUGGCGAAGGCGGCCCCCUGGACAGAUACUGACACUCAGAUGCGAAAGCGUGGGGAGCAAACAGGAUUAGAUACCCUGGUAGUCCACGCCGUAAACGAUGUCUACUUGGAGGUUGUGGCCUUGAGCCGUGGCUUUCGGAGCUAACGCGUUAAGUAGACCGCCUGGGGAGUACGGUCGCAAGAUUAAAACUCAAAUGAAUUGACGGGGGCCCGCACAAGCGGUGGAGCAUGUGGUUUAAUUCGAUGCAACGCGAAGAACCUUACCUACUCUUGACAUCCAGAGAACUUUCCAGAGAUGGAUUGGUGCCUUCGGGAACUCUGAGACAGGUGCUGCAUGGCUGUCGUCAGCUCGUGUUGUGAAAUGUUGGGUUAAGUCCCGCAACGAGCGCAACCCUUAUCCUUGUUUGCCAGCGAGUAAUGUCGGGAACUCCAGGGAGACUGCCGGUGAUAAACCGGAGGAAGGUGGGGACGACGUCAAGUCAUCAUGGCCCUUACGAGUAGGGCUACACACGUGCUACAAUGGCGCAUACAGAGGGCAGCCAACUUGCGAAAGUGAGCGAAUCCCAAAAAGUGCGUCGUAGUCCGGAUUGGAGUCUGCAACUCGACUCCAUGAAGUCGGAAUCGCUAGUAAUCGUGGAUCAGAAUGCCACGGUGAAUACGUUCCCGGGCCUUGUACACACCGCCCGUCACACCAUGGGAGUGGGCUGC